AGAGUUUGAUCCUGGCUCAGGAUGAACGCUGGCGGCGUGCCUAAUACAUGCAAGUCGAGCGAACGGACGAGAAGCUUGCUUCUCUGAUGUUAGCGGCGGACGGGUGAGUAACACGUGGAUAACCUACCUAUAAGACUGGGAUAACUUCGGGAAACCGGAGCUAAUACCGGAUAAUAUUUUGAACCGCAUGGUUCAAAAGUGAAAGGCGGUCUUGCUGUCACUUAUAGAUGGAUCCGCGCUGCAUUAGCUAGUUGGUAAGGUAACGGCUUACCAAGGCAACGAUGCAUAGCCGACCUGAGAGGGUGAUCGGCCACACUGGAACUGAGACACGGUCCAGACUCCUACGGGAGGCAGCAGUAGGGAAUCUUCCGCAAUGGGCGAAAGCCUGACGGAGCAACGCCGCGUGAGUGAUGAAGGUCUUCGGAUCGUGAAACUCUGUUAUUAGGGAAGAACAUAUGUGUAAGUAACUGUGCACAUCUUGACGGUACCUAAUCAGAAAGCCACGGCUAACUACGUGCCAGCAGCCGCGGUAAUACGUAGGUGGCAAGCGUUAUCCGGAAUUAUUGGGCGUAAAGCGCGCGUAGGCGGUUUUUUAAGUCUGAUGUGAAAGCCCACGGCUCAACCGUGGAGGGUCAUUGGAAACUGGAAAACUUGAGUGCAGAAGAGGAAAGUGGAAUUCCAUGUGUAGCGGUGAAAUGCGCAGAGAUAUGGAGGAACACCAGUGGCGAAGGCGACUUUCUGGUCUGUAACUGACGCUGAUGUGCGAAAGCGUGGGGAUCAAACAGGAUUAGAUACCCUGGUAGUCC
rnacentral:rRNA from 1 species